CACUACUCUCCUCCCCUCUCCCCGCCGCUUCCCUCGCCACCCACCAUCGAAGGCUCCACUUCCCCUCCUUCUCCUCCUUGUUCGAGGUCCCCUUCUCUCCCUCUAUCUCUGUUGUAUCGGUUUUCUAAUCGUUUCUUGUUUGAAUAUAUAUAUUGGAUUGCAUUUGUGCUUCACGAAAGACUAGAUUCUGAAUCAUCCUCUUGCGUGAAAUCGUUCGAUUUUCUAUGUCAAAGGAAGCAUCUUUGAAGGGCUUUGGUGGCUUCGGAUUCAAAAUCAGCUUCAUUCCUUGUCAUCACUUUGCCUCGUGAGUUCUAACAUGACAACAUGUGAAGCAAUGACAGCAAGUACUUGCAAGGAAGCUUCUGAUAUAAUUGAUUUAAACUGGGAAAAUAUUGGAUUUGGACUGGUACCAACUGAUUACAUGUAUAUCAUGAAAUCUUCUGAAGAUGGAACAUUUGCAAAAGGUGAAUUGCAGCAUUUUGGCCCCAUUGAAUUGAAUCCAGCCUCUGGAGUCUUAAAUUAUGGACAGGGUUUGUUUGAAGGUUUAAAAGCAUACAGAAAAGAAGAUGGAUCAAUUCUACUAUUUCGCCCAAAGGAAAAUGCUUUACGGAUGAGGAUGGGUGCAGAGCGCAUGUGCAUGCCUGCACCGACUAUUGAGCAAUUUAUGGAUGCUGUAAAGCUCACUGUUUUAGCAAAUAAGCGCUGGGUACCACCUAUAGGGAAGGGUUCCUUGUAUAUCAGACCGUUACUGAUGGGAAGUGGGGCCGUUCUUGGUGUUGCUCCUGCUCCUGAGUACACAUUUCUUAUUUUUGUUUCACCUGUUGGUAACUACUUUAAGGAGGGUUUAGCACCAAUAAACUUGAUAGUUGAAAAUGAUUUUCAUCGCGCGACCCCUGGUGGAACUGGAGGUGUAAAGACUAUUGGGAAUUAUGCUUCGGUGUUGAAGGCACAGAAAUUAGCUAAGGAGAAAGGCUAUUCUGAUGUUUUGUAUCUUGACUCUGUUCACAAGAAGUACCUGGAGGAAGUUUCAUCCUGUAAUAUUUUUGUUGUGAAGGAUAAAAUUAUAUCAACCCCAGCAACCAAAGGAACAAUAUUGCCUGGCAUUACAAGGAAAAGUAUAAUUGAUGUUGCUCGAGGCCUAGGCUAUCAGGUUGAGGAGCGUCUUGUGUCUGUAGAAGAAUUGCUUGAUGCCAAUGAAGCUUUUUGCACAGGAACAGCUGUUGUUGUAUCACCCGUGGGAAGUGUAACAUACCUUGGGAAUAGAGUGGAAUAUGGGAACAGGGGAGUUGGUGCUGUAUCUCAACAACUCUAUUCUGCACUCACAAGGCUACAGAUGGGUCUCAGUGAUGACAAGAUGGGCUGGACAGUGAAGUUAAAUUGAGAGCUGGGGUAUCUAGAAUAAACAAACACCUUGUAUGAAAGCUCUUUUUGUUGAUUUUAGGGCUCUGAUUUCUUUCACUGGCAUUGCUAGCAUCCACCUAAGCCUCUUGGCCUUCUACUUAGAAGAUACAGAGGCAAGAAUAAGGGGCUGCAGAAAAGCCAGAGAAAAAGCUUCUAGUUUUUGUUUCUAUGAAGGAAAGUAACCUUCGACAGCUGUUCUAAAUCAACGGCUGGCAUGGAAUUGUGUUUCAGUUGGAGUUUUCAUGCAAAGUCUUAAAAGCGACACACAAACUGGGAUUUUGACAAGCAUUCCCCUGGGGACUGCACGCUUGAUACCCUGUCCUUGUCGGACUUCAAAAAAACGA